rnacentral:rRNA from 1 species
AGUUGACCUCGGAUCAGGUAGGAAUACCCGCUGAACUUAAGCAUAUCAUAAGCCCGGAAGAAAUCAAAACCC